GAUGAACGCUAGCUACAGGCUUAACACAUGCAAGUCGAGGGGAAACGGCAUUGAGUGCUUGCACUCUUUGGACGUCGACCGGCGCACGGGUGAGUAACGCGUAUCCAACCUUCCCAUUACUGUGGGAUAACCUGCCGAAAGGCAGACUAAUACCGCAUAGUCUUCGAUGACGGCAUCAGAUUUGAAGUAAAGAUUUAUCGGUGAUGGAUGGGGAUGCGUCUGAUUAGCUUGUUGGCGGGGUAACGGCCCACCAAGGCGACGAUCAGUAGGGGUUCUGAGAGGAAGGUCCCCCACAUUGGAACUGAGACACGGUCCAAACUCCUACGGGAGGCAGCAGUGAGGAAUAUUGGUCAAUGGACGGAAGUCUGAACCAGCCAAGUAGCGUGCAGGAUGACGGCCCUAUGGGUUGUAAACUGCUUUUGUAUGGGGAUAAAGUUAGGGACGUGUCCCUAUUUGCAGGUACCAGACGAAUAAGGACCGGCUAAUUCCGUG
rnacentral:rRNA from 1 species